GUUUCCGUGGUGUAGUUGGUUAUCACAUCCGCCUAACACGCGGAAGGCCUCCGGUUCGAGUCCGGACGGAAACA
rfam:Lutzomyia longipalpis Contig10702, whole genome shotgun sequence.